rnacentral:rRNA from 1 species
GACGAACCGUGCGAACGUUGUUCGGAUUCACUGGGCUUAAAGGGCGCGUAGGCGGACUCGCCAGUCUGUGGUGAAAGCCCCCAGCUCAACUGGGGAAGUGCCGUGGAUACUGCGAGUCUGGAGGAGGGUAGGGGCAUCUGGAACGCUGGGUGGAGCGGUGAAAUGCGUUGAUAUCCAGCGGAACUCCGGUGGCGAAGGCGAGGUGCUGGACCCUUUCUGACGCUGAGGCGCGAAAGCCAGGGGAGCAAACGGG